rnacentral:lncRNA from 1 species
GAUGACUUGUUUAAGCUCCUUUUUGGAUCUAUGAUGUAUGCCUAUUUGGGCCUCAUGUUAAUGCAUGAACUUCUUUUAAUAUAUAAAUGAAGUUUGCUAAUUGCCUUCCUGAAAUGUGUAUUGUCUCUUUUUGUGCAAUGUGAAAGGUUCUUAGGUUCUUAUGUAUUGUCUAUCUUUUUGAUAAUGACAGAAAGAGAGGGAAAUAUGUGUAUCAAAAUAGCACAUAGCACAUAGUAUUAGUUGCAAUUAAAAUUGAUAUCAAAUGAAAUAGAGCAUCAUGAGUAUCAAUUGAGACUAUGAUUGAUGGUUAUAACCCUAAAUUAUUAAUUUGAAAUAUUUGGCCCAA